rnacentral:rRNA from 1 species
AACGAACGCUGGCGGCAUGCCUAACACAUGCAAGUCGAACGAGACCUUCGGGUCUAGUGGCGCACGGGUGCGUAACGCGUGGGGAUCUGCCCUUUGCUUCGGAAUAACAGUUAGAAAUGACUGCUAAUACCGGAUGAUGACUUCGGUCCAAAGAUUUAUCGGCAAAGGAUGAACCCGCGUAGGAUUAGCUAGUUGGUGGGUAAAGGCCUACCAAGGCGACGAUCCUUAGCUGGUCUGAGAGGAUGAUCAGCCACACUGGGACUGAGACACGGCCCAGACUCCUACGGGAGGCAGCAGUGGGGAAUAUUGGACAAUGGGCGAAAGCCUGAUCCAGCAAUGCCGCGUGAGUGAUGAAGGCCUUAGGGUUGUAAAGCUCUUUUACCCGGGAUGAUAAUGACAGUACCGGGAGAAUAAGCUCCGGCUAACUCCGUGCCAGCAGCCGCGGUAAU